rnacentral:misc_RNA from 1 species
AAAAUUCAAAAAAUUAAAAAUAUGCAAUAUUUGAAAAGCUAGCAAACUAAACCCAUCAAAAAUAACAGACGCAAAAAACAAGCAUAUUAUUUUCUCACCACCAGAUUAAACUAAAUGCAAAGACCAAUAUUUAGAACAACAAAAUCAAACCCAAAAAUUAAAAAAUAAAAACAUUAAAAUAUAAAAAUUAAACUCCUGCUUGAUUCUCAACGAAAAAGAAAAUUUUCAUAAAACCCAUCAAAAU